AUAUUCACUUUGAGAGGAAAGAGUAGCUGAUAAUAUAAAUUUUAGCGAGCUGAUUAUGGUGGGAGUUCAGUAUUGUUUGUUAGUGAAGGGAGUCCUUGAGUGUAUACUUUAAGUGGAUUCUAAUCUAUUUAGAAUCAAAAAGGGUGGAACCGCGGAAGAUAACCUUUCGUCCCUUAG
rnacentral:ncRNA from 1 species